UGGGGAAUUUUGGACAAUGGGGGAAACCCUGAUCCAGCCAUCCCGCGUGUGCGAUGAAGGCCUUCGGGUUGUAAAGCACUUUUGGCAGGAAAGAAACGUCGCGGGUUAAUACCCCGCGAAACUGACGGUACCUGCAGAAUAAGCACCGGCUAACUACGUGCCAGCAGCCGCGGUAAUACGUAGGGUGCAAGCGUUAAUCGGAAUUACUGGGCGUAAAGCGUGCGCAGGCGGUUCGGAAAGAAAGAUGUGAAAUCCCAGAGCUUAACUUUGGAACUGCAUUUUUAACUACCGGGCUAGAGUGUGUCAGAGGGAGGUGGAAUUCCGCGUGUAGCAGUGAAAUGCGUAGAUAUGCGGAGGAACACCGAUGGCGAAGGCAGCCUCCUGGGAUAACACUGACGCUCAUGCACGAAAGCGUGGGGAGCAAACAGGAUUGGAUACCCUGGUAGUCCACGCCCUAAACGAUGUCAACUAGCUGUUGGGGCCUUCGGGCCUUGGUAGCGCAGCUAACGCGUGAAGUUGACCGCCUGGGGAGUACGGUCGCAAGAUUAAAACUCAAAUGAAUUGACGGGGUCAUAGCUG
rnacentral:rRNA from 1 species